UGCAAGUCGAACGGCAGCGCGGGAGCAAUCCUGGCGGCGAGUGGCGAACGGGUGAGUAAUACAUCGGAACGUGCCCAAUCGUGGGGGAUAACGCAGCGAAAGCUGUGCUAAUACCGCAUACGAUCUACGGAUGAAAGCAGGGGAUCGCAAGACCUUGCGCGAAUGGAGCGGCCGAUGGCAGAUUAGGUAGUUGGUGAGGUAAAGGCUCACCAAGCCUUCGAUCUGUAGCUGGUCUGAGAGGACGACCAGCCACACUGGGACUGAGACACGGCCCAGACUCCUACGGGAGGCAGCAGUGGGGAAUUUUGGACAAUGGGCGAAAGCCUGAUCCAGCCAUGCCGCGUGCAGGAUGAAGGCCUUCGGGUUGUAAACUGCUUUUGUACGGAACGAAACGGUCUUUUCUAAUACAGAAGGCUAAUGACGGUACCGUAAGAAUAAGCACCGGCUAACUACGUGCCAGCAGCCGCGGUAAUACGUAGGGUGCAAGCGUUAAUCGGAAUUACUGGGCGUAAAGCGUGCGCAGGCGGUUAUGUAAGACAGUUGUGAAAUCCCCGGGCUCAACCUGGGAACUGCAUCUGUGACUGCAUAGCUAGAGUACGGUAGAGGGGGAUGGAAUUCCGCGUG
rnacentral:rRNA from 1 species